rnacentral:rRNA from 1 species
CACAGAGGGAAGCCAGGUGGCGACACCGCGCGGAACCCGAAAGCCGUUCUCAUUCGGAUCGGAGUCUGNAACCCGACUCCGUGAAGCUGGAUUCGCUAGUAAUCGCGCAUCAGCCAUGGCGCGGUGAAUACGUUCCCGGGCCUUGUACGCACCGCCCGUCAAGCCAUGGGAGCCGGGGGUGCUUGAAGUGCGUCGCCGCAAGGCGCGCCCUAGAGCAAAACCGGUGACUGGGGCUAAGUCGUAACAAGGUAUC